rnacentral:lncRNA from 1 species
AGAAAAUGCCCAUGUUGAUGAGAACUGCAGGAUCCAAGGAAAUUAACUUGACUUGUAUUUUAGACAAUUCUGCCAUAUCCAUUCCUUGCCCAGAGCUGUCAACGGAGAAAGAGUUGUGCCUGCUUACAGCUUUAAUCAGAGAUAAAAAUUACCCCUAGUUCAUGAAUAUGUUUAUCACGGAGAUAAGUCAAUGGCAGAGAAUAGAUUCUCAGCACACAGCUCUGCAUGUCUUGCACUAAAACAUGUCAUAUACUGAUGUGUUUUGCUCUACAAAUAGCACCCUCAUACUCCACUCAUUGUCCAGACACAGACAGAGCCUGGGCAGGGAAAAGUCCUUCAGAAGGAAGCACAAGGAGCUUUUCUGAUGAGCUUGGAGGACCUUAAAGCUCCUUGGGUGUCUGCUUGCUGUGGCUUGGCCACCAUCUAUGAAUCCUUUACUAGACUGCCAGGGGAGAGGUGAAGAGGGAAAUUAUCAUUUGGUCUGAUCACAAAAGCUGUUGGGGCUCCUAUGAUCAUCCUCUGUGUCCUGAGGCUCUGUCUCCCUCCUGGAUGUGUUCCCAGCUGCUGUUGUCUGGACCCAACACUUCAGGCAUGGCUCUUGACCAUUAAUACCAGUGUCUUUGGCAUAACAGGGACCAGCAAACAACUUGUGACCCAAAAGAGAAACAGCAGCAGUAGCAGCUGGGCUCUUCUCCAGAGCUCCUGA